ensembl:lncRNA
GCCGCUCCUGGACCUCCACUCCCCUCCCCAUCCCUCUACCUGCAGACUCCUCUCCUCCCUUCAGUUGUGCACUCAGGUACUUGGUUGGGAUGCUGUGGAGACAAGGAUGUCCUCAGCUGCUUCCCAGUCGUGAUCAACGAGACCAGAGAGGCUGAGAAACUUGAGGAUUGACACCGUUAUCAUCUUCAUUUCACAGUCGUGAUCAACGAGACCAGAGAGGCUGAGAAACUUGUCCUGGGUCACUCAGCUAGAAGGCAGUUGACCUGCGGAGUUGAUCACGGUGUUCCAAGAACUGCCAGGUUCUGAAGCACAGGUCCCGCUCACUGAUGGAGUCCAGACCAGUGACUGCACUAGUUGUCUAGAACUUUCAUAUCCCUUUUUGCACCCCUGCCCAUCCUUCCGCAGAGGAGGACCCUACUUUGCAUACCCCAGGGGCGUGGUCAGCCCUUCUGGUCAGCCCUUCUAGCUUGGUCCUUGGCACUGUCCUGGCCCCCGUCACUCUGCAGAAACUGCUGUGGCGCCAUAGGUCGCUGCGCCUGCCGCACACUUUGCACGAGAAGAGGGGGAAAGCCACAAGAAGAGGAAGGCGACAUUGAAGGACAGCAAGGUUGCUGGUGACACACACAUGGAUUUGCUGGCGCAAGGCCCACAGCUCCAUGGUUUUGAUAAGAGUGGGUGGCCCCUGGGGUCAAGUCCUCACCUGAGCUUGUCUUGGCUUCUGGCUCUCUGAUUCCCUGCCGGCUUGGGUUUUCCCUGUCUCCUGUGGGAGAGGAAGGGUGGGGGGAGUGAUCUGUUUCACUUCUUAGGGAACCCUAAUAACCUUCUGGACAGAUUAGCUCUGAGGUCCCCUCUGGACAUGCCUGGCAGGAGUCAGCCCUCAACUAGCAAACACUAGGGAUAAAGAGAGUUUUUGCCAGGUAUUUGGGAAUUGAUCCUCAGACAGUUUCAUUCCUGCAAGGGAGUGUCUCACAUUAAAGUGAUUUACAUCACCUUCUAGUUCAUGCAUAGGACCCUUAGGAGCUUGGUUAACUUGAGUUAGUACCCCUUCCCCAUCAUGCCCUGUUAAAGUAUUAGUUGCUCAGUUGUGUCCGACUCUGCAAUCCCAGACUGUAGCCUGCCAGGCUCCUCUGUUCAUGGGAUUCUCCAGGCAAGAACACUAGAGUGGAUUCCCAUGCCCUCCUCAAGGGGAUCUUCCUGACCCAGGGAUCAAACCUGGGUCUCCUGCAUUGCAGGCAGUUUCUUUACUGUCUGAGCCACCAGGGGAAACCCCACCAUUCCCUGUUCUCUGCUCAGACAGAAAUUCUACUGCUGGCCCCAGACCUCAUCCAGAUGCCAUGUGCCUUCACUAAGGUAUUGUAUCCUCAGAGUCCCUGAUAUCCUUGCCCUGAAGGAGUUAGGAGUAACAGGUCAGGAUGGGACUCUAGGAUGACCCGCAGAGGUCUCAAGCAUUUCCUGUUUCUGCAGCCUGAGGAACCAGGUACCUUGUCAGACUCUUGCAUUUUUGCCAAACUCACAGGUUAUAGAUUAUAUCUCAUUGUUGUUUAAAUAUGCAUUUCUCUCUUUAUAGUUGUAUGAAAAAUCAUAUUUAUUAUAACUAAUUUUAAAGACUUUAUUGAAGGACAGCAUACAAAAAUGAUGUUAAAGUGUAAAACUUGAUUAAAUUUCACAAAGUAAACACAAUUGUAACCAUUACUCUGCUUAAGAAAAAGCAUUACUAUCUCCUAAGAAGAUGUUCUUCUGUCCCUUUCUUGUCAUGACUCUCUUCUGCCUCUAAACAAUGAUAUUUGUUAUCUUUCCCAAGAAUUGUGGUUAAAUUUGUUUUUAUUUUGGGCUGUGCUGGGUCUUCAUUGCUGCGUGCGGUCUUUCUCUAGUUGUGCCCAGCGGGGGCUGCUCUCCAGUUGUGGUGCCUGCGACUGUCAUCACAGUGGCUGCACUUGCUGCAGCAUGCGCACUAGAGGGCAGGCUCAGCAGUUGUGGUGUACGGGCUCAGUUGCCCUGUGGCAUGUGGGAUCUUCUGGGACCAGGGAUUGAACCAUUACCACCUUCAUUGCAAGGCAGAUUCUUAACCACCACCAGGGAAGUUCCAGAACUGUGGGAUUUUUUAGCCAAAUUUUAUUGAGCGGUUUGCUUUUUUC